rnacentral:lncRNA from 1 species
ACAUUCUCUAGAAAGUAUUCUGAAGUACUGCCACUAAGGUAAAGGUGCUAACUUGCAAGGAGCUGUUCUCAAAACAUUGGGUGACAAAGAAUUCACUUUUACAAAAAUCGAGCAGGAUAUUAAAGACAGCGAACUAUAGAACAAAUAUGGCGAAGCUGCAUGAAGUCUAUGUUGAAUUUUAUUAUUGAAAAAAAAUAUGCUCUUCAGAUUUAAUGUUAGUUUUUAUUGUUUAACAGUAAUUGCAGUUUUCGAAUACCUGUAAAAUAAACCUAAUUCUUAAAUUAA